rnacentral:rRNA from 1 species
GAUGAACGCUGGCGGCGUGCCUAAUACAUGCAAGUCGAGCGAACGGACGAGAAGCUUGCUCCCUGGAUGUUAGCGGCGGACGGGUGAGUAACACGUGGAUACCCUACCUAUAGGGCUGGGUAACCUUCGGGAAACCGGAGCUAUACCCCGAAAAUACUUUGAAUCGCAUGGUUUAUAAGUGAUAGACGGUCUUGCUGUCACUUAUAGAUGGAUCCGCGCUGCAUUAGCUAGUUGGUAAGGUAACGGCUUACCACGGCAACGAUGCAUAGCCGACCUGAGAGGGUGAUCGGCCACACGGGAACUGAGACACGGUCCAGAGUCCGACGGGAGGCAGCAGUAGGGAAUCUUACGCGAUGGAGGAAAGCCUGACGUAGCAACGCCGCGUGAAGGAUGAUGGUCUACCGAUCGGAGAACUCUGUUAUUAGUGGAGUUCAAAACUGUAAGUAACUGUGCACAUCUUGACGGUACCUAAUCAGAAAGCCACGGCUAACUACGUG